rnacentral:misc_RNA from 1 species
GAAAUGCGAUAAGUAAUGUGAAUUGCAGAAUUCAGUGAAUCAUCGAAUCUUUGAACGCACAUUGCGCCCGCCAGUAUUCUGGCGGGCAUGCCUGUUCGAGCGUCAUUUCAACCAUCAAGCCCCCGGCUUGUGUUGGGGACCUGCGGCUGCCCGCAGGCCCUGAAAAACAGUGGCGGGCUCGCUGUCACACCGAGCGUAGUAGCAUACAUUCUCGCUCAGGGCGUACCGCGGGUUCCGGCCGUUAAACGACCUUCAUAACCCAAGGUUGACCUCGGAUCAGGUAGGAAGACCCGCUGAACUUAAGC